UUUUCUUUAAACCCUUAAAGUUUACAUACUCUUUGUUUACAUACCAGCUUAAAGAGCCUAGACUGAGCAUUAACACUGGAUUUUUCAUUAAUUUUAUGUUAGGGUUAUUGGAGAAUUGCUGCAGUAUUUUUUUUAUAUUUGUUACACAUUUUAUUUGUAUGUUUCAUACUGACAGCUAAAACUGUUGUGUUUAAUUCGUUACUAAUUAAAGUUAUGUUUGUUCUGUCAAGCAAUCCGUUUUUUCACCAUAACUAUGAACCGAACCGUCCUGUACCGUACCGUGACUUCAAAACCGAGGUACGUACCGAACCGUGACUGUUGUGUACCGUUACACCCCUACUUUCAACCAAUCAGAGGCCACGGUGCGGGAGUUGGCUGUGAAAGUGGAGAACAAGCUGGCGGAGAGAGGCGGGCGACGGCCAGCAGGGGGCGUGAACGUCGCACCGAAGAGUACAAAGAAAACAGAGGAGGAGGAUGUAGUUCAGGAGCUACUGUACACAGAUCUAGAGGAGAGCAGUGAUUGGGCGGUGUCGUCCCUGGAGGAGCCGGGUCACAUCCUGGCUCUCCCCAAGUCGGGCCCCAAGGGGCCCCCACCGACCAGGAAGAGUCUGGACUCGUCCAGCACUAGCGUCUGGGGAACCUCCACGGGCAAGGGACAGAAAUCCGGAGUGACGGACACCGCGGGGGCCGGCAGCACGCUGAAGAGCAGCCUGAUCUCACUCAGCGACUUCAGCGACUCAGAAGACAUUUAGCAUUGCACACCCUACUGUUCUGACCCCACAUGAACCCUGGAAUGUCUUUGAUGACCCCUUUAUAUAUGAUUUAUGAGAUUAUUUUACCCUAUAGGUACUGCUUUUAUAGUGUCCGAUUU